rnacentral:rRNA from 1 species
CCUACGGGUGGCUGCAGUGAGGAAUAUUGGUCACUGGUCGGGAGACUGAACCAGCCCAGCCGCGUGAGGGAUGAAGGUACAGAGUAUCGUAAACCUCUUUUGUCAGGGAACAAAGGCGGGGACGUGUCCACGGAUGAGUGUACCUGAAGAAACAGCAUCGGCUAACUCCGUGCCAGCAGCCGCGGUAAUACAGAGGAUGCGCGCGUUAUCCGGAUGUAUUGGGUUUAACGGGUGCGCAGGCGGUCUGUUAAGUCAGCGGUCAAAGCCCGGGGCUCAACCCCGGCCCGCCGUUGAAACUGGCAGUCUCGAGUGGAAGAGAAGUAUGCGGAAUGCGCGGUGUAGCGGUGAAAUGCAUAGAUAGCGCGCAGAACUCCGAUUGCGAAGGCAGCAUGCCGGCUCCACACUGACGCUGAGGCACGAAAGCGUGGGUAUCGAACAGGAGUAGAUACCCCUGUAGUC